rnacentral:rRNA from 1 species
AUUGAACGCUGGCGGCAGGCUUAACACAUGCAAGUCGAGCGAGCGGCGGACGGGUGAGUAAUGUCUGGGAAACUGCCUGAUGGAGGGGGAUAACUACUGGAAACGGUAGCUAAUACCGCAUACCAUCAGAUGUGCCCAGAUGGGAUUAGCUAGUUGGUGGGGUAAUGGGUCACCUAGGCGACGAUCCCUAGCUGGUUUGAGAGGAGGACCGGCCACACGGGAACUGAGACACGGUCAAGACUCCUACGGGAGGCAGCAGUGGGGAAUUUUGGACAAUGGGCGCAAGCCUGAUGCAGCCAUGCCGCGUGUGUGAAGAAGGCCUUCGGGUUGUAAAGCACUUUCGGCGAGGAGGCGUUACUCGCAGAAGAAGCACCGGCUAACUCCGUGCCAGCAGCCGCGGUAAUAC